rnacentral:rRNA from 1 species
AGGGCCCUACGGGACGCAGCAGUAGGGAAUCUUCCACAAUGGACGAAAGUCUGAUGGAGCAACGCCGCGUGAGUGAAGAAGGGUUUCGGCUCGUAAAGCUCUGUUGGUAGUGAAGAAAGAUAGAGGUAGUAACUGGCCUUUAUUUUACGGUAAUUACUUAGAAAGUCACGGCUAACUACGUGCCAGCAGCCGCGGUAAUACGUAGGUUGCCAGCGUUGUCCGGAUUUAUU